rnacentral:rRNA from 1 species
AUUGAACGCUGGCGGCAUGCUUUACACAUGCAAGUCGAACGGUAACAGGCCUUCGGGUGCUGACGAGUGGCGAACGGGUGGGUAAUGAACGGGAAGGUACCCAGCGGGGGGGGUUAAGGAAGCGAAAGUUGUCUUAAACCGCAAGGGGAUAGGAGGUUGAAAUGGGGGGACGGGGCGGAAAGGUUUGGCCCGGGGCUUUUGGACGGGCGGAUGUCGGUUUAGCUAGUGGGUGGGUUAAAGGCCAACGAAGGCGACGAUCCGUAGCUGGUCUGAGAGGCCGACCGGCCACACUGGGACUGAGACACGGCCCAGACUCCUACGGGAGGCAGCAGUGGGGAAUUUUGGACAAUGGGCGCAAGCCUGAUCCAGCAAUGCCGCGUGCGGGAAGAAGGCCUUCGGGUUGUAAACCGCUUUUGGCAGGAACGAAACGUUGUCCGCUAAUACCGGGCGCUAAUGACGGUACCUGCAGAAUAAGCACCGGCUAACUACGUG